rnacentral:rRNA from 1 species
AACGAACGCUGGCGGCAGGCUUAACACAUGCAAGUCGAACGGUCUCUUCGGAGGCAGUGGCAGACGGGUGAGUAACGCGUGGGAAUCUACCUAGUUCUACGGAACAACAGAGGGAAACUUCUGCUAAUACCGUAUACGCCCUACGGGGGAAAGAUUUAUCGGAAUUAGAUGAGCCCGCGUAAGAUUAGCUAGUUGGUGGGGUAAUGGCCUACCAAGGCGACGAUCUUUAGCUGGUCUGAGAGGAUGAUCAGCCACACUGGGACUGAGACACGGCCCAGACUCCUACGGGAGGCAGCAGUGGGGAAUAUUGGACAAUGGGCGCAAGCCUGAUCCAGCCAUGCCGCGUGAGUGAUGAAGGCCUUAGGGUUGUAAAGCUCUUUCAGUGGGGAAGAUAAUGACGGUACCCACAGAAGAAGCCCCGGCUAACUUCGUGCCAGCAGCCGCGGUAAUACGAAGGGGGCUAGCGUUGUUCGGAUUUACUGGGCGUAAAGCGCACGUAGGCGGAUUGGUCAGUUAGAGGUGAAAUCCCGAAGCUCAACUUCGGAACUGCCUUUAAUACUGCCAAUCUAGAGUCCGGAAGAGGUGAGUGGAACUCCUAGUGUAGAGGUGGAAUUCGUAGAUAUUAGGAAGAACACCAGUGGCGAAGGCGGCUCACUGGUCCGGUACUGACGCUGAGUGCG